rnacentral:lncRNA from 1 species
AAAUUGUACCAGGAAGUAUAAGAAACUUCCCCAAGUAUUACAGACCUAGAAAUUAUAUAGAUAAAAGUCAAAAGAGAAUAUAUCAUAAAGGACCUAAAACAUCAAUCCUCAACAUCAUCCGCAUCGUCCACAUCAUCCUCCUUAUAUACGGGAUAAGGCUCAACAUUCGGACUUAAAACCGGCGCUUGAGUGUGGGAGGGAGCUUGAUCCUGUGCUUGCAUAAGUCGAGUCAGCUGCUCCUCGUAUAAUCUUUGGCGGUUAAUCAAUUCUUGCACAAGGGCUGCUUGACUUGCCAUCUGCUGCGAGAACUGCUCUUGUGACAAUCUAUGAAUGAGCUCCCGCAUCUCUGGCGUCAGCUGAGGCUGCUGGGAGGUUCCUUCACCCUGAUUGAGGGUUAGUCUGAGGGUUGAUGCAACACU